rnacentral:rRNA from 1 species
AACGAACGCUGGCGGCAGGCUUAACACAUGCAAGUCGAGCGACCCGCAAGGGGAGCGGCAGACGGGUGAGUAACGCGUGGGAAUCUACCCAUCUAUACGGAAUAACGCAUGGAAACGUGUGCUAAUACCGUAUACGUUAUUGAGGAGAACGAUUUAUCGGAGAUGGAUGAGCUCGCGUGGGAUUAGGUAGUUGGUGGGGAAAAGGCCUACCAAGGCGACGAUACAUAGCUGGUAUGAGAGGAUGAUCCGCCACACUGGGACUGAGAGAGGGCCCAGACUACUACGGGAGGCAGCAGUGGGGAAUAUUGUCCAAUGGGCGCAAGCCUGAUCCAGCCAUGCCGGGUGGGUGAUGAAGGCCCUAGGGUUGUAAAGCUCUUUCACCGGUGAAGAUAAUGACGGUAACCGGAGAAGAAGCCCCGGCUAACUUCGUGCCAGCAGCCGCCGUAAAAC